GAUGAACGCUGGCGGCGUGCUUAACACAUGCAAGUCGAACGAUGAAGCCCAGCUUGCUGGGUGGAUUAGUGGCGAACGGGUGAGUAACACGUGAGUAACCUGCCCUUAACUCUGGGAUAAGCCUGGGAAACUGGGUCUAAUACCGGAUAGGAGCGUCCACCGCAUGGUGGGUGUUGGAAAGAUUUAUCGGUUUUGGAUGGACUCGCGGCCUAUCAGCUUGUUGGUGAGGGAAUGGCUCACCAAGGCGACGACGGGUAGCCGGCCUGGGAGGGUGACCGGCCACACUGGACCUGAGACACGGCCCAGACUCCUACGGUAGGCAGCAGUGGGGAAUAUUGCACAAUGGGCGCAAGCCUGAUGCAGCGACGCCGCGUGAGGGAUGACGGCCUUCGGGUUGUAAACCUCUUUCAGUAGGGAAGAAGCGAAAGUGACGGUACCUGCAGAAGAAGCACCGGCUAACUACGUG
rnacentral:rRNA from 1 species